rnacentral:tRNA from 1 species
GCCGGGGUGGCGAAAUUGGUAGACGCGCUAGUCUUAGGAACUAGUGGAGCAAUCCGUGGAGGUUCAAGUCCUCUCCCCGGCACAA